UGGUGUGAGGGCAAUCUGCUGUGACAUCUGUCAUCCUAUUGAUCACCAGAGUUAAUUUGGCUGCUUUGGCUGGCUAGGCAGGUGUCCCCUUCCUCCCUCACCACUCCACGUGUGUCCCUCCUGAAGCUGUGAGCUCAGUCUAAGAGGAAGACCUUCCCCAAGCUGGGCAUGUAUUUGAACUCACUUUUCUGUUGCCUUUCCAAGGGUCCAUGGGAGCUGUUA
rnacentral:snRNA from 1 species